rnacentral:tRNA from 1 species
GCGCCGGUGGUGUAAGGCGAACAUCGCUGCUAGGAAGGCAGAAGUUACGGGUUCGAGUCCCGCCUGGCGCA